AUCAUACUUGGCCAAUAAAGAAUUCUAUUCUAUUAACAAAUGUCUCGCUUAGCAACAUAAAUUUUGGGCUCAAUUGUAGUUGUUAAAUCAAAGACUACUUGUAAAGAAGCAGGCAACAUAAAUCCUGAAACAAGUAAGGCCUCUUAUGUUAGAAAGCAAGGAGCUAUUAAAAGCUUAAUUUUAUAAACAUGAUAGGAGUGAAAUAAAAUAAAUAGACCAUCUUGUGCAUACAUGUUUACUGUGUUUUAUUUUGCUUUAGAAAUUGCUUUAUUCUAUGGAGUGCUGUUUUUUAAGAAUCACACCACCACAAGGAUGAAGCAUUACAAAUCAAAUACCCCAGACCAAACAAUAUGGUACAUAUGGUGAAACUAUUAUGCUUUUUGCUAGAAUGAAUUAGCAGGGUUAAAUGUAAGGAGAAAGAAUGGUAAAAUUCACUAUUCUAGCAACUAUUAAAAGUUUACUACUUUAUUCACCCUAUUUACUUCAAAUACAUCAAUAUUAUAUUAAUAGUUUUCAUUAUUCAACAGAGAAAGUUUUGAGUCACAGCACUAAAUGGAAUAAGAAUGGAGUUUUCUACACAUACCUGAAGGAAGACUGCCUCAUUUAAAUUCAAAAUGUGAUUUAUGUCAGCAAUAUUUGACGUUUCAAAGCAAAAGUGCACAUUUUAAGCUAAAAGUUUUAGAAUGUAAUAAAAAAAGUAUUCUUGUCUUACACAAUAUGCAGAAACUAUUGUUGGUUCAGUGAUACUCACUCCUUGACCUAUCUCAAAGGUGCUUUUUCUAGAGGCACUUGGACUUUCUUGUUUUUCUUUGAAGACAUUUCACUUCUCAUCCAAGAAGCUUCUUCAGCUCCGUUUGGAUGGUGAGGAAAAGCAGUUUUCCAGUUGCCUCUUCAAAAAAGCUUCUUUGGGACAACCAUGACCUGGAUGACUGAGAAUCUCCACAGACACAUGUUGACUUAUUUCUGUAUGAUAGCAACAUAUCUUUACCAUAUGUAAACAGGUAAGGCAACAGACCAUGGAUGUAACCAGUGGUAGGAUUCAAAUAUGUGAACAUCCGGUUCUCUGUGUGUAUGCCACUUCAAGAAGUCCGUUCUGGGCCUGGGCAACAAAAAGUUAGCUACCGGUUCUGCCAGAGUGGUGCGAACCGGCUGAAUCCCACCACUGGAUGUAACCAUAAUUUCUGACUUAAAAAACAGAGAUACCAACAGUGGGAGCCAUAAUCUCCCCUACUACAACUGAAAAAUAAGGAAAGGCGCCAUGACAUCUAUCCUCCUAGCAGCCAAUAUCUUACUUGCAUACCUUCCCAUUUACAGUGGGGACUGAUAUGGUUGCAUGAGGAUAAUACCCAUUCCUCAGGCAACCUUGCUUGUCACCUGCUCUAUUAUGUUUUAAAUAUUUAUGAAUUUGCCAUCUAGUUUAUUCUACCAUUUUAUGCAAUUUUAGUAGUUGUUUUUUUUCUCUUUCUCUUUGCUUGAUUGCACUGAUAUUUAUCUUAUAACAGCCUGAGACUAAAGAAAGAAUAUAAACCAGUGUCUUCAUUGUAGCCAGUCUUCUUCUGCAAAGCUUUUAUUCAGGUUUAAGAGAUCUCAAUAAAGCUAAUCAAAACAUUAGUAUUUUUUUUUCUAUUUUGUGAAUUACAUUAAAAAGAACGAAGGCAAUGAGCCUACAUGUAAGAAUGACAAUAUAUAUUUAUUUGCUUGAUUUAUAUUCUAUCCUUCAACGGAGAUAAUGACAAUAAUAACAGCAACAAACGUCACGGAUAAGUCCUUUUCAAGUCCUAUGCAUUUAAAUGGUAUCUAAUGAAACUGGAUGAAAAAAUUCAAUUUGCUAUCUAAAAUAAUACAUAAUACAUGCACUGUAUAACAAGUGGCCCCUUUAAGUAAGCAUUUUGCAAAACCUGAUUAUCUGACAAAAAAUCUCUAUUUGGUUGAAAAUUAUAUGCCUGCCUCAACAAGUAUAACUUUGAGGCAGCUUUCCCAAUAUCUUUAGUUGUAGAAGUUUAUUUAUUUCAACUUCAAUGAGUUAUAACAGACAGAAAUGAAGGCAACAUUAGGAAACCAAAAAUAUGUUUAAAGCAGGAAGUUGACUGACAAAUCUCUAUCAAGAAAGUAUGUGGGCACUUCCACAUUGUUUUAUUUUUCCCACAUUUUCAAAAUAGGGGCACAUAAAGCUGAUAGCCCUUAUUUACUGACUGCCUUGUUUCCUCCAGGAACUCACGGUAGCAUAUUCCUCCCUACUUUUUCCACAACAACUCAAUGGGAUAGAUUGGGCUGAGUGAGAAUGACUAGUGCAGUUAUACUCUGAUCUUUGAAGGUAAAGAUGGAUUUAUAUCUGGCUCUCCCAUCAUAAUGUAACACUGAUGCAACCAUUAUGCUACACCAAGUCUCUAAUGUGAUCAUAAUUAAUUUUUUAGGAACACUGAUUUACCUAAUUUACUAAUUUAUCUCCAUAUUAUAAAAACAUCUGCCUUACAUUAUCACUGAAAAUGAUGCAAAGGCAAUGCUGCUUAACUGCAUAUUACAGCAUUAUGGCCUAUUACAUUUUCUGCUGCCAAAGGCUUACAAGUCUUUCAAUUAUCACCAGACCUUUCCUAUCUACUUGAACCUUUCAAUCUGGAGGAAAAUCAUUUUGACUCUUGAAGCCCAAUCAGCUCAGAGCCCUAUGCUGCACCUCUGCAGCAAAUAGUUCCAAGUAGCCUGGCAAAUAGCUAUUUGCUUUUUUAUUUUAUUUUAAAGCCAUUAGUGCAAUUAUCAAUUAGGCAGGAAUAAUAUGAACCUCAAAAUAGGCAUACACUUUUCAAGUAUAUGAAAAGAAAGCAAGUUCUACUAACUUUGUCCUUCUCUGGGCAGUGAUGAAAUGGCACCUACAGUACAAAAAGAAAACAAAUGAAUGGGCGGUUUGCAUUGGAUAGCAAGAGGAGACACUCUCCGGAAACAGGUCACAGCUUCAGUCUGAAGUAGCAAUCUUUGGACCACCAACCUUACUUUGAAGCAUGUGAGGCCUUUUUUUUCAGAUAUACUGUGGAACAUAGGUUCUUCCCUUGCUGUAUUAAAGGGCUGACUGUUGGCUCUGGCAACCUAGGAACUGUGCUCACAGAACAAUGUGAAAAAAGCUACAUGGUUGCCUUUCUCAUUUGUUGAUGUCUGGUACUAUAUCUUCAAGCUACCCCCUUGAAAAAGCCAGUGAAACAAGAUGAAGACUGGCCAACUAACAGCUGGUGGUUGGAUAGUUUACCUCACAAAACAAUCCUUGGACUCUUGCCUCUAGAUGCAUGCAUGAGAGCAGAAUAAUUAUAAAAACACUAGGAGCCCAGCCAGACCUAACAUUCUGUCAUUUCUUUUUCCCACUGCUGCUGUUGAAACAGGCCAGCCUUGAAACAGAAGCUAUAGGAAAGAUGAAUUAAAUGAACAACAAAGACUGUCCCAAGAGACCAGGGUAUUGCUGCUUCUCCUCUUCAAACAACAGCUCUUAAUAGAGGUGAACUUCCUUCAGGUGACACUUUCUUUCAGAAUAUAUCAUCAUUUGGGCUAAGAAUUAGUUUUGACAGGACUGGGCUUCAAAAAAAGAAUAAUCUUUCCCCUCCCCCAUCUCCAGCUUCUUUCUUUGGUAUUUUUGUACUUUCUCUAAGGGAUCAGCUUUCAAUCCAGACAUUUUCUUGCAAAAGGAUGAAAGGAAGGAAAGAAGAAGAGUGAACGAGUCAAAUAAAUUUUAUUUCUCCUUGGCCUUGAAUGAGAGACACAGGGUGCCAUCAAACAGAAGAAACUCCCAGUGUAUCGGAAGGCACUGCUUGCCUGACUAUUCCACUCUUUAUACCUUUCAAAUUUUCUGGGAGCAGAGCAAAGUAUUGUAUGGAGUUCCUUGGAAUGAAUUGUUUAGCAAGCCUCUGGAGAACACAAAGUUUUUAUUUAUUAUGAAUCAAUGUUUAAUAUCCCCAAUCCUAUGGUUUUUAAAGUUUAAGAAUAAAUAAUCUGCAGAGAAAAGCUUAUUUUCUUGACUAGCUGUCAGUCUUUGCUUAUGUCCUACAGAGUAUGAUUAUGUUAACUUGACAAUCUAUCAUCAUAAAUGCUAGAAAAGAAUUUAGAUCUUAAUUUCAUGGUAUCAGCCAAAGAAGACAAAGCAUGCUGUUCUAAAAUAAACUACUGGUUUAGCCAAUGAAAUGAGCCCAUACAAUAUGAUAUUUCUUUUUGCAUUUUAGGAAUUUAAUCAAAGGCUGACAUGAGAUUGAAAGAUAGGUCAAUAGCCUGUAACCUACCUUAGAAACAUUUUUAUUUGUAUAUUCCAACAAGCAAGAAAAAAGGGAUGGCGCUGUAUUUUUUUCAGCACAGUGAGAGAAAUAAAUGAUACAGACUUUAAUUAUCACAUUAUCACAUAAAUGAUACAGACUUUAAUUAUCACAUUUUAAAUUUUAAAAAUGUUAGGCCUAGUUUGAAGCAUCCCUGCAUACAGGGAGUACCAAGAAAAAAAAAAGCUUGUACAUUUUCUUUACAAACUUCUCAAGAGUUCAAAUUUCUUCUUCCUCUCACUUCUGUUUUUGCAACAGUGGCCAUAUUCUUCUUCCAAAGCAGAACUUUACAAAC